rnacentral:rRNA from 1 species
AGAGUUUGAUCCUGGCUCAGGACGAACGCAGGCGGCGCGCCUAACACAUGCAAGUCGAACGAGCGAGAGAGAGCUUGCUUUCUCGAGCGAGUGGCGAACGGGUGAGUAACGCGUGAGGAACCUGCCUCAAAGAGGGGGACAACAGUUGGAAACGACUGCUAAUACCGCAUAAGCCCACGGCUCGGCAUCGAGCAGAGGGAAAAGGAGCAAUCCGCUUUGAGAUGGCCUCGCGUCCGAUUAGCUAGUUGGUGAGGUAAUGGCCCACCAAGGCAACGAUCGGUAGCCGGACUGAGAGGUUGAACGGCCACAUUGGGACUGAGACACGGCCCAGACUCCUACGGGAGGCAGCAGUGGGGAAUAUUGCACAAUGGGGGAAACCCUGAUGCAGCGACGCCGCGUGGAGGAAGAAGGUCUUCGGAUUGUAAGCUCCUGUUGUUGAGGAAGAUAAUGACGGUACUCAACAAGGAAGUGACGGCUAACUACGUGCCAGCAGCCGCGGUAAAACGUAGGUCACAAGCGUUGUCCGGAAUUACUGGGUGUAAAGGGAGCGCAGGCGGGAAGACAAGUUGGAAGUGAAAUCUAUGGGCUCAACCCAUAAACUGCUUUCAAAACUGUUUUUCUUGAGUAGUGCAGAGGUAGGCGGAAUUCCCGGUGUAGCGGUGGAAUGCGUAGAUAUCGGGAGGAACACCAGUGGCGAAGGCGGCCUACUGGGCACCAACUGACGCUGAGGCUCGAAAGUGUGGGUAGCAAACAAAAUUAGAUACCCUGGUAGUCCACACCGUAAACGAUGAUUAAUAGGUGUUGGAGGAUGACACCCUUAAGUGCCGCAGUUAACACAAUAAAGUAAUCCACCUGGGGAGUACGGCCGCAAGGUUGAAACUCAAAGGAAUUGACGGGGGCCCGCACAAGCAGUGGAGUAUGUGGUUUAAUUCGACGCAACGCGAAGAACCUUACCAAGUCUUGACAUCCUGCGACGAUGCUGGAAACAGUAUUUUCCUUCGGGACGCAGAGACAGGUGGUGCAUGGUUGUCGUCAGCUCGUGUCGUGAGAUGUUGGGUUAAGUCCCGCAACGAGCGCAACCCUUACUGUCAGUUACUACGCAAGAGGACUCUGGCAGGACUGCCGUUGACAAAACGGAGGAAGGUGGGGAUGACGUCAAAUCAUCAUGCCCUUUAUGACUUGGGCUACACACGUACUACAAUGGCGUUAAACAAAGAGAAGCAAGACCGCGAGGUGGAGCAAAACUCAGAAACAACGUCCCAGUUUGGACUGCAGGCUGCAACUCGCCUGCACGAAGUCGGAAUUGCUAGUAAUCGUGGAUCAGCAUGCCACGGUGAAUACGUUCCCGGGCCUUGCACUCACCGCCCGUCA